rnacentral:rRNA from 1 species
UAAACGACUCUCGACAACGGAUAUCUCGGCUCUCGCAUCGAUGAAGAACGUAGCGAAAUGCGAUACUUGGUGUGAAUUGCAGAAUCCCGUGAACCAUCGAGUUUUUGAACGCAAGUUGCGCCCAAAGCUUUUGGCUGAGGGCACGUCUGCCUGGGCGUCACGC